rnacentral:rRNA from 1 species
CUACGGGUCGCUGCAGUGAGGAAUAUUGCACAAUGGGGGGAACCCUGAUGCAGCAACGCCGCGUGGAGGAUGACGCAUUUCGGUGUGUAAACUCCUUUUAUAUGUCAAGAAAAUGACGGUAGCAUAUGAAUAAGCACCGGCUAACUCCGUGCCAGCAGCCGCGGUAAUACGGAGGGUGCAAGCGUUACUCGGAAUCACUGGGCGUAAAGGACGCGUAGGCGGGUUGGAAAGUCAGGUGUGAAAUCCUACAGCUUAACUAUAGAACUGCACUUGAAACUUCUAAUCUAGAGUAUGGGAGGGGGAGAUGGAAUUAGUGGUGCAGGGGUAAAAUCCGUAGAUAUCACUAGGAAUACCUGAAGCGAAGGCGACCUCCUGGAACAUUACUGACGCUAAGGCGUGAAAGCGUGGGGAGCAAACAGGAUUAGAUACCCCUGUAGUC